UGUGCUAAGGUAGCAUAAUCACUCGCCUUUUAAUUUAAGACUAGAAUGAAUGAUCAAACAUUUAAAUUAUUGUUUUAAUUUUAUUUAUAAAAUUCAUCUAAAUAUAAAAAAGUAUUUAUACUAAAGAAAGACGACAAGACCCUAUUGAACUUUACUUUAGUUUAACUGGGGCAGUUAAUUAACUAAAUUUUAAUUAUUAUUAUUAAAAGACCUAAUAACAUUAAUCAAUUAAUUAAGUUACCAUAGGGAUAACAGCAUAAUUUAUUUAUAUAGCUCUUAUACAUAAAUAAGAUUAUGACCU
rnacentral:rRNA from 1 species